GCUAUUUUACUGAAAUGAUGGUUGCACCUUCUUCUACAAACAGGGCUUCCUUUUUUGAACUCAAAGUUCACGCCUGAUGGGGACAUGAUCUCAUCAUGUUGCAGGACCUACAUUUGUGAUAACUGAGGACAGCUGCUGUGGACAAUUCUGAGGAAAGUUACUCAGGACAGUUAUUGUGGACAUUGGGCAAUCAGUGAGAACAAUUACUGUGGACUGCUCCUGCGGAUGGUGACUGUGGACAGUUAAUGUGGUUACUGUGGACAGUUUCAUUAGGGGUUACUGUAGAUGGUUCUUGUAGGGGUUAAUAUGGAUGGUUCCUUUAAGGGGUAAGAUGGACGGUUCCUUUAGGGGUUACUGUAGAUGGUUCCUUUAAGGGUUAAUGUAGAUGGUUCUUGUAGGGUUUAAUGUGGAUGGUUCCUUUAAGGGUUAAUGUGGAUGGUUCCUUUAAGGGUUAAUGCGGGCGGUUCCUUUAAGGGUUUAAUGUGGAUGGUUCCUUUAAGGGUUUAAUGUGGACGGUUCCUUUAAGGGUUUAAUGUGGAUGGUUCCUUUAAAGAUUAAUGUGGACGGUUCCUUUAAGGGUUUAAUGUGGACGGUUCCUUUAAGGGUUAAUGCGGAUGGUUCCUUUAAGGGUUAAUGUGGACGGUUCCUUUAAGGGUUUAAUGUGGACGGUUCCUUUAAGGGUUAAUGUGGACGGUUCCUUUAAGGGUUUAAUGUGGACGGUUCCUUUAAGGGUUAAUGUGGAUGGUUCCUUUAAGGGUUAAUGUGGACGGUUCCUUUAAGGGUUUAAUGUGGACGGUUCCUUUAAGGGUUUAAUGUGGACGGUUCCUUUAAGGGUUAAUGUGGAUGGUUCCUUUAAGGGUUUAAUGUGGAUGGUUCCUUUAAGGGUUUAAUGCGGAUGGUUCCUUUAAGGGUUAAUGCGGACGGUUCCUUUAAGGGUUUAAUGUGGACGGUUCCUUUAAAGGUUAAUGUGGACGGUUCCUUUAAGGGUUUAAUGUGGACGGUUCCUUUAAGGGUUAAUGUGGAUGGUUCCUUUAAGGGUUAAUGUGGAUGGUUCCUGUAUUGCAUAAGCUGGACUCUUCAUGUGGGGUUGAGGGUAUCUGAACUGCUCCAGUGUUAGAGCUUGUUGGCUGUAAGGAUGAUGGCAUGGCUUUCAGGAUUCCAUAAAUUCCUAAAGUUUUUGCUGCUGACCCUGGGCACCCUGCUGACCACUUACAUCAUUAUGAUUUCCAUGCAGAAUCCAGUGUAUCCAGCCAAUCAGAUGCAGGAGUUUUAUCACAGAGUGCACUGUUCCCGCCUCCAGGCCAAGAUCUCCAACAUGAGCACCACUAAAAAGUGAGCUGUUCAUCCGUUACUGAAGAUGUUCUGGAUCGACUGCUGCCGACUCAGAACUGAUCAGGAUCAUAUUCAUCUUCUAUUCAGGAACAUUUUCCUCUUUAAAGCUCUCCAAACGGAAGAUCUGUAGUCGGUCAGAACGCAUGCAGUAUUAUCUUACAUAACUCAAUAACUCUAUAAAACACCACUGUAUUAUUAUGAACACCAUAACUGCUGUAUUUUUAUACAUAAAACAAAAACUGUAUAUAAUAUUGCACUGUGAUUGUAUAUAAUGCCAUAACUGUCUAUAUUACUGCAGUGUUAUUAUACAUAACAUCAUAACUAUAUAUAUUACUGCAGUGUUAUUAUAGAUAACAUUGUAACUGUAUAUAAUACUGCAGUGUUAUUAUAGAUAAUGUCGUAAUUAUAUAUAAUACUGGAGUGUUAUAAAUAACGUCAUAAUUGUGUAAAAUACUGCAGUGUUGUUACAAAUAAUACCAUAACUGUAUAUAAUACUGCAGUUAUUAUCGAUAUCAACAAAACUGUAUAUAAUGCUGCAGUGUUAUUAUAAAUAACAUCAUAAUUGUAUAAAAUACUGCAGUGGUAUUAUAGAUAAUGCCAUAAUUACAUAUAAUACUGCAGUGUUGUUACAAAUAACACCAUAACUGUAUAUAAUACUGCACUGUUUUAUAGAUAACAAAACUGUAUAUAAUACUGCACUGUUUUAUAGAUAACAAAACUGUAUAUAAUACUGCAGUGUAAUUAUAGAUAAUUCUGUAUAUAUUUAUAAUACUGCAGUGGUAUUAUAGAUAACAGCGUAACUGUAUGUAAUACUGCAGUGUUAUUAUAGAUUGUCAGACAACUUGAGCGAAAAUGGCGCCUGACUAAACUAGAAGUGUUCCAGUCCGCCUGGAAGGAGAGCCUUAUAGACUGUAGAAGAGCACUUGCUACAGCACGCUCAGCCUCUCUCUCCUCUCUCAUAGAGGACUAUUAUUUAGCAAAUUUCUAAAAUAACGAAGAACCAAACAGUUAGUGAACCCCAGAUGCCAUCAGCCUAUAGCAGCAAUGAUUUUAUGAACUUCUUUAGUGAUAAAAUUGAAAAAAAAAAAAUAGGCAGAAAAUUCAGAAACCACAGUUAAACUCUACAAACCUCCUGUCUUAUAAUGCCAGUCUAGAUCCUGAGAAUAUUAUAAUCACUGUAGAGAGGCUGGAAUCGUUUACCUUACUUCAACAAACUUACCUAGUUAAAAUUGUUUCCUCUGCAAAAUCUUCUACUUGUAUGUUAGAUCCAAUUCCUAAAGGUUUACUCAAGGAAAUUUUGCCAGAAAUAACCAAGCCUAUUCUGUCAAUAAUAAACUCCUCUCUUAGCCUUGGCUAUAUACCAAAAACUCUCAAA